UCUAAGUAUAAGCAAUUUAUACAGUGAAACUGCGAAUGGCUCAUUAAAUCAGUUAUCGUUUAUUUGAUAGUACCUUUACUACUUGGAUAACCGUGGUAAUUCUAGAGCUAAUACAUGCUAAAAAUCCCGACUGUUUGGAAGGGAUGUAUUUAUUAGAUAAAAAAUCAAUGCUCUUUGAGCUCUUUGAUGAUUCAUAAUAACUUUUCGAAUCGCAUGGCCUUGUGCUGGCGAUGGUUCAUUCAAAUUUCUGCCCUAUCAACUUUCGAUGGUAGGAUAGUGGCCUACCAUGGUUUCAACGGGUAACGGGGAAUAAGGGUUCGAUUCCGGAGAGGGAGCCUGAGAAACGGCUACCACAUCCAAGGAAGGCAGCAGGCGCGCAAAUUACCCAAUCCCGACACGGGGAGGUAGUGACAAUACAUAACGAUACAGGGCCCUUUCGGGUCUUGUAAUUGGAAUGAGUACAAUGUAAAUACCUUAACGAGGAACAAUUGGAGGGCAAGUCUGGUGCCAGCAGCCGCGGUAAUUCCAGCUCCAAUAGCGUAUAUUAAAGUUGUUGCAGUUAAAAAGCUCGUAGUUGAACUUUGGGCUUGGUUGGCCGGUCCGCCUUUUUGGCGAGUACUGGACCCAACCGAGCCUUUCCUUCUGGCUAACCAUUCGCCCUUGUGGUGUUUGGCGAACCAGGACUUUUACUUUGAAAAAAUUAGAGUGUUCAAAGCACGCCUUUGCUCGAAUAUAUUAGCAUGCAAUAAUAGAAUAUGACGUUAUGGUUCUAUUUUGUUGGUUUCUAGGACCAUCGUAAUGAUUAAUAGGGACGGUCGGGGGCAUCAGUAUUCAGUUGUCAGA
rnacentral:rRNA from 1 species